rnacentral:pre_miRNA from 1 species
UGGCCGUCUGAAAUUUGUCCCUCCCCGGAAAAUCUGAAAAUCUAAGUCCUCGGGUUUGGAAAGUGUGUGGAAAUUAGUCCCUCUGGCGAGGACCUGCUACACACAUUUUUUCAAAUGCGAGGACUUAGAUUUUUAGAUUUUCCGGGGAGGGACUAAUUUCAGACGGCCA